UACGUAGGGUGCAAGCGUUGUCCGGAAUUAUUGGGCGUAAAGAGCUCGUAGGCGGUCUGUCGCGUCGGCUGUGAAAUCCCGAGGCUCAACCUCGGGUCUGCAGUCGAUACGGGCAAACUAGAGUAUUGCAGGGGAGACUGGAAUUCCUGGUGUAGCGGUGAAAUGCGCAGAGAUCAGGAGGAACACCCGUAGCGAAGGCGGCACUCUGGGCCGAUACUGACACUGAGGAGCGAAAGCGUGGGGAGCGAACAGG
rnacentral:rRNA from 1 species